AGAGUUUGAUCCUGGCUCAGAAUCAACGCUGGCGGCGCGCCUAACACAUGCAAGUCGAACGAGAAAGUGGGCAACCAUGAGUAAAGUGGCGUACGGGUGAGUAACACGUGGAUGAUCUGCCUUCUGGUGGGGAGUAACCCUGGGAAACCGGGGCUAAUACCGCAUAACUUCGAGAGAAGAAAGCAGCAAUGCGCCGGAAGAGGAGUCCGCGGCCGAUUAGCUAGUUGGUGAGGUAACGGCCCACCAAGGCAAAGAUCGGUAGCCGGCCUGAGAGGGCACACGGCCACACUGGCACUGAAACACGGGCCAGACUCCUACGGGAGGCAGCAGUGGGGAAUCUUGCACAAUGGGGGAAACCCUGAUGCAGCGACGCCGCGUGAGCGAUGAAGCCCUUCGGGGUGUAAAGCUCUUUCGGCAGGGAAGAUGAUGACGGUACCUGCAGAAGCAGCUGCGGCUAACUACGUGCCAGCAGCCGCGGUAAUACGUAGGCAGCAAGCGUUGUUCGGAGUUACUGGGCGUAAAGGGUGUGUAGGCGGCUUCUUAAGUUCGGUGUGAAAUCUCCCGGCUC
rnacentral:rRNA from 1 species